GAGGGGCCUUCCCUGGUUUCGGAGGAGCCAUCCCUGGUUUCGGAGGAGCCAUAACAGAUCCAGCAAUCACAGGGUCAACUUCCGGUUUCUUUGUAGCAAACUUAUCAAUCAAGAUAGGUCCCUUCCUUUCUUUAGACGUAACAGGUGUUUCAAUUUCCCCUUUUACAACUUCUCCUUUAUCAUCCUUCAAGAUAACAGACUUUUUAACAGGUGUUUCACCUUGCCCUCUAUCAUCCUUCAAGAUAACAGGCUUUUUAACCAAUGGCGGGGGUGGUGGGCGCGGCGGCGCUAUAGAAGGCCUAGACAGUAAUGUCGGUUGAGGUCUCGAAGGAGGUUGGGGAUUACUAGACUGAGGUGUU
rnacentral:lncRNA from 1 species